rnacentral:rRNA from 1 species
ACUUACCCGAGUACUACGAACAAUUAAAGUUUAAAACUCAAAGGGCUUGGCGGUGCCUUAAACUUCUUAGGGGAACCUGUCUCAUAAUCGAUAGUCCACGUUAGACCUUUCCUUUUUUUGUUAAAAUCAGUAUGUAUACCGUCGUCGUCAGGUAACUUUUAAUAAAUAUAAAAGUUAGCGCUUAUAGAUCACAUAAUCUUAAACGUCAGAUCAAGGUGCAGCUUAUAAAAUGGGGAGGAUGGGUUACAAUUAUAAUUCCUAAUUACGAAUAUAAAUUUGAAAUAAUUUAGUGAAGGAGGACUUAAUAGUAAGAAAUUUAUAUAAAAUUUCUGAAAAAAGCUCUAAGGCGUGCACACAUCGCCCGUCACCCUCG